rnacentral:tmRNA from 1 species
GGGGGUGAACUGGCUUCGACGGGGUAUGGAACGGCUAUUAAGGCGACCCGGCAAGGAACCGCCGUAAAGGACCAAACUUUAUAAUUGCCAAUGACGAGCACUACGCUCCGGCUUUAGCUGCAGCCUAAAACUGUUGCUUUAGCGGGGUCUGGAUCCGGGCCCGGCAACAGAAGCCUUGUGCAGGAUCACACCGGAAUGCGGAGGCCGGUUAAUAUCCAGGGACGCUCAGUUCUCCGAGGUAACGGGGGCCAAAGGGUAUAGUCGGUCUGAAACCGCCCUGAGGCAGCAUGGCCGACGAGAUGGUCGUAAUUCCUUGUAUCUUAAUACAUGUUUCGGACCGGGGUUCGACUCCCCGCACCUCCACC